CAAUUUCCACAAAGGAAAGAAGUUUGAAGCUUUAAACUGCUUGUGAAUUGCUGCUGCUACUUAACAAAUGAGUAUGAACUCAGAGAAAGAGAAAAACAGAGAGACAGGAAGAGAGGCUUACCAAAUGGAAGGAUUUAAUGGAACCCACCACUAGUUCAUUGGAUUUUGCACGUCCAUGCCCAACCAGAGCAAAGCAGAAGAAGAAAAUCAGAAAGAUAGUAAAUCUUAGGGAUCUCAUUGAGUGGAGAAAGUUUUGCUGUCAAACUAGGAGUAAGUAGCGUUUUAUAAGAUGAAGAAGCUUCAGAUCAUGGGAUUCAGAAACUAGACAGGCACCGACAAGACAAGAUCUUGAAAGCUUCUUCAGACAAAAAUAUUAUACUGGUACAACUAAUUUCUGAUCUUUUUGAUAGAUGUGCUUUUGUGAAAUUGAGCUUGCUUUUGACCUGUCGCCUGAUUCCUUGGCAGCGAAGCUCGACCCUCAAGGAAAUGGGUUGGCUUUCUUGGUGCCUCUCUCGAAUGCAUCCAUAAACAAAAUGAAGGGAGCUGAGGUGCGUGGAAAGUUGCUAUUAAUUUGGUUUUAUCUUCAAGAUUCUCCGAGCUGUCACUUCUCUCUUGGUCUGGUUGCUGAUCCACGCUCACGUUGCUAGCCACUCACUCGCCCCCCACCGCCAGCUACAGGGUAAGCAGGGUUUGGAUGAAGGCAAGCUUAUGAGAAAAAGAGGUGGGGGCACCUUUUUUACCCUAAAAAAGCCACAGAGUUGCCACUUGUAGAUCUCUGGUGGAUGGCUGUGUGCGUGUUCAAGAGAGAAUGUGGCCAGCAAUAAGGCCAAAACUGCCAGAUUGCAUGGAUUUUUCUUUUACUCUUUCUUUUAUCUCUCACUGGGUGUUAUCGUCGACAAUUAUUAACCAUCGGUCCGUGGACAAUUAUCUCUCUCUGGUUAGGUUUGAUUUGGGUUUAUAAGUGAGAAAUAAUAUCUCUACCUGAAUGAGGCAUUUUGGAGAAGCUCAAAGCAAAGUCAUGAGUGCUUAUGCUCAAAGUGGACAGUAUCAUACCAUUGUAGAGAGUCUGAUUUCUAACAAUCCUAUGACAAUUCAUCUCUCUAUAUAUAUAUUUGCUUCUGCUAUGCCGUUAACAGC